rnacentral:lncRNA from 1 species
AACUAUCGCAAUUUUAAAGUUUUUAAUUGAAAAAAAAUACAGCAUACAACAUGCAUGAUUUUUUUUUUAGUUUCUUUUUAACAGUUCAUUCUUACAUAAUUAAAUUCAUUUGACAAUCAUUUACACGAACUUUUUGUGAAAAGAAUACCAAUUAUCUAAGCUAAGGCAUUAUUUUUUUGAGGAUUUUUGUACAUUUUUUUUUUAAUUCUAUGAUAAUAUUUGUGCAAUGUUUAACAUGAUAGCCGUCAUUAAUCCAAAUAAGUAAUACAGUAGUUGUAAUAAAACUUAUAUUUUAGUCAUGCAUAACUGAUAUUGACGAAUUUAGAAUAGUUCGUCCAUACAUCGUUGUUCUUGAAACAAUCAUUAUUAGUAUACAUGUAAGUUUCCUGACGUAUAAGCGCCAUUGAGGAUGAGCUCCAGAGAAAGCAGACUAGUAGCGUUUCGUUAGUUUGUUUGUUG